UUUUGGUCUAACUAAAUCCAAAAGGUUGUUAAAGAGUUCCUACAAAGGUUUUGGACAGUGAUUUUAAACCUAACACCAAAAAACUUAAACCUUACCAUAGCCCCAUAACCUAAUACCCGGGUAUUACUUUUAGGAAGCCUGAACACCCCAAAUAUUUUUUUUUCAUUUUUCUUUUUUUUUUUGGUCUAACUAACUCCAAAAGGUUGGAAAAGAGUUCCUACAAAGGUUUUGGACAGUGAUUUUAACCCUAACGCCAAAAAACUUAAACCUUACCAUAGCCCCAAAACCUAAUACCCGGGUAUUACUUUCAGGGAGCCCGAAAACCCCCAAUAAUAUUUUUUUCUUUUUUCAUAUUUUUUGGUCUAACUAACUCCAAAAGGUUGGAAAAGAGUUCCUACAAAGGUUUUGGACAGUGAUUUUAAACCUAACGCCAAAAACUUAAACCUUACCAUAGCCCCAUAACCUAAUACCCGGGUAUUACUUUCAGGAAGCCUGAACACCCCAAAUAUUUUUUUUUUUCAUUUUUCUUUUUUUUUGGUCUAACUAACUCCAAAAGGUUGGAAAAGAGUUCCUACAAAGGUUUUGGACAGUGAUUUUAACCCUAACGCCAAAAAACUUAAACCUUACCAUAGCCCCAAAACCUAAUACCCGGGUAUUACUUUCAGGGAGCCCGAAAACCCCCAAUAAUAUUUUUUUCUUUUUUCAUAUUUUUUGGUCUAACUAACUCCAAAAGGUUGGAAAAGAGUUCCUACAAAGGUUUUGGACAGUGAUUUUAACCCUAACGCCAAAAAACUUAAACCUUACCAUAGCCCCAAAACCUAAUACCCGGGUAUUACUUUCAGGGAGCCCGAAAACCCCCAAUAAUAUUUUUUUCUUUUUUCAUAUUUUUUGGUCUAACUAACUCCAAAAGGUUGGAAAAGAGUUCCUACAAAGGUUUUGGACAGUGAUUUUAACCCUAACGCCAAAAAACUUAAACCUUACCAUAGCCCCAUAACCUAAUACCCGGGUAUUACUUUUAGGAAGCCUGAACACCCCAAAUAUUUUUUUUUCAUUUUUCUUUUUUUUUGGUCUAACUAACUCCAAAAGGUUGGAAAAGAGUUCCUACAAAGGUUUUGGACAGUGAUUUUAACCCUAACGCCAAAAAACUUAAACCUUACCAUAGCCCCAUAACCUAAUACCCGGGUAUUACUUUCAGGAAGCCCGAAAACCCCCAAUAAUAUUUUUUCUUUUUUCAUAUUUUUUGGUCUAACUAACUCCAAAAGGUUGGAAAAGAGUUCCUACAAAGGUUUUGGACAGUGAUUUUAACCCUAACGCCAAAAAACUUAAACCUUACCAUAGCCCCAUAACCUAAUACCCGGGUAUUACUUUCAGGGAGCCCGAAAACCCCCAAUAAUAUUUUUUUCUUUUUUCAUACUUUUUGGUGUAACUAACUCCAAAAGGUUGGAAAAGAGUUCCUACAAAGGUUUUGGACAGUGAUUUUAACC